UACGGAGGGGGGCUAGCGUUGUUCGGAAUUACUGGGCGUAAAGCGCACGGAGGCGGCUUUGUAAGUUAGAGGUGAAAGCCCGGGGCUCAACUCCGGAAUUGCCUUUAAGACUGCAUCGCUAGAAUUGUGGAGAGGUAAGUGGAAUUCCGAGUGUAGAGGUGAAAUUCGUAGAUAUUCGGAAGAACACCAGUGGCGAAGGCGACUUACUGGACACAUAUUGACGCUGAGGUGCGAAAGCGUGGGGAGCAAACAGG
rnacentral:rRNA from 1 species